rnacentral:rRNA from 1 species
AUACGUAGGGUGCGAGCGUUAAUCGGAAUUACUGGGCGUAAAGCGUGCGCAGGCGGUGAUGCAAGACAGUUGUGAAAUCCCCGGGCUCAACCUGGGAAUUGCAUCUGUGACUGCAUCGCUAGAGUACGGUAGAGGGGGAUGGAAUUCCGCGUGUAGCAGUGAAAUGCGUAGAUAUGCGGAGGAACACCGAUGGCGAAGGCAAUCCCCUGGACCUGUACUGACGCUCAUGCACGAAAGCGUGGGGAGCAAACAGGAUUAGAUACCCUGGUAGUCCACGCCCUAAACGAUGUCAACUGGUUGUUGGGUGCAUUAGUACUCAGUAACGAAGCUAACGCGUGAAGUUGACCGCCUGGGGAGUACGGCCGCAAGGUUGAA